CCUACGGGAGGCAGCAGUGGGGAAUAUUGCGCAAUGGGCGAAAGCCUGACGCAGCGACGCCGCGUGAGGGAUGAAGGUCUUCGGAUCGUAAACCUCUGUCAGCAGGGCAGAACGGUCACUGUGCUAAUCAGCAGUGAAUUGACGGUACCUGCAAAGGACGCACCGGCUAACUCCUUGCCAGCAGCCGCGGGAAUACGGAGGGUGCGAGCGUUAAUCGGAAUGACUGGGCGUAAAGCGCUCGUAGGCGGUCUGUCAAGUCAAGGGUGAAAUCCCCGCGCUCAACGUGGGAACUGCCUUUGAAACUGGCAAACUGGAGUGUGUGAGAGGAUAGUGGAAUUCCAGGUGUAGGAGUGAAAUCCGUAGAUAUCUGGAGGAACAUCAGUGGCGAAGGCGACUAUCUGGCACAUAACUGACGCUGAGGAGCGAAAGCGUGGGUAGCAAACAGGAUUAGAUACCCGAGUAGUC
rnacentral:rRNA from 1 species